rnacentral:rRNA from 1 species
UACAGAGGGUGCAAACGUUGCUCGGAAUUAUUGGGCGUAAAGCGCACGUAGGCGGUUUUGUAAGUUGGAUGUGAAAACCCUGGGCUCAACCUUGGAAGUGCAUCCAAAACUGCGAGACUGGAGUGCCGGAGGGGGUCGGAGAAUUCCCGGUGUAGAGGUGAAAUUCGUAGAUAUCGGGAGGAACAUCUGUGGCGAAGGCGCCGACCUGGACGGUAACUGGCGCUGAGGUGCGAAAGCAUGGGGAGCAAACAGG